UCUCCUUCAGUGGCGGAAGGGACUGCAUCAAUCGUUAGCGAUGGCAUCCCACCGAUCAAAUAUUGGAUAUAUAUUAUUUCCCAAUAACAAUAAAAUCAAUCACCAACACAAAUAUUUAAAGUAAAAUCGCGACUAUUGAUUGUAUCUUCCCACGACAUCCACACCACGUUCUCGUCACCAGCAAUGUCCUUCCGGAACCUGACCUCUCAAGUCUCGAUGAUUGGAGCUACGACAUCGACCGUUUCUUCUGCAUGAGGCCCAAAAAGAUGGCUGGUAGCCCCAAUAGAAAAAGGCUUGCAGGCCCAAGUGGUCAGUAGGUCCAUGCCAUGGACGUCUUCUAUGUACAGCGGAUUCCUUAAUCAACUCCUUUCAUAAUGCUUAUACUUUAAACCGGUCUUAUUAAUUUUUUAA